GACGAACGCUGGCGGCGCGCUUAACACAUGCAAGUCGAGCGAGAACCAGUCCUGGGACGUGGGACGAGCGGCGAACGGGUGAGUAACACGUGGGUAAGUCUGCCCUCGAUUCUGGGAUAGCCCGGGGGAAACUCGGAUUAAUACCGGAUAGCCUCUCGAGCUUACGAGCUCGUGAGAAAAGGUAGCUUCGGCCUCCGAUCGA
rnacentral:rRNA from 1 species